GACGUAGGGUCCGAGCGUUGUCCGGAGUUACUGGGCGUAAAGGGCGCGUAGGCGGUUCUAUGCGUCCCACGUGAAAGCCCCUGGCUCAACCAGGGAGGGUCGUGGGAAACGGGGGAACUGGAGGCAGAGAGAGGCUGGUGGAAUUCCCGGAGUAGUGGUGAAAUGCGUAGAUAUCGGGAGGAACACCGGUGGCGAAGGCGGCCAGCUGGCUCUGACCUGACGCUGAGGCGCGAAGGCGUGGGGAGCGAACGGG
rnacentral:rRNA from 1 species